CCAAAAGGUGAAGAGAGUAUUUUAAAUGGGCUUAAUUGAAUUAUCCUUUGCCGACAGAAACCAAAUUCGAACCAGAUGUUUCUAGUUGUACAUUUUAGGACCAAAGAAUACAUCAAACUCAGAAAACAAAGAAAACGAAGAGAAAACGCCAACGUGCGUUCCUUCCUCACCUUUUCCGAAAAAAAAAAGGAAAAAAAAAAAAGGCGAAUCCUCUGUCCCAGUAACUGUCACAUAUUCAAACGUCAAUUUUUAACAGUUUAAUCUUUCUUCUCUAGGCUGAUUAAUCUAAAACCUCAUGGUAACAAAAAUAAUUGAAAAAAUGAAAUCCA
rnacentral:lncRNA from 1 species